GAUGAACGCUGGCGGCGUGGAUAAGGCAUGCAAGUCGUAUGGGUUUAGACCCAUGGCAAACGGGUUAGUAAUGCAUAGGAACGUACCCUCAAGUCGUGAAUAACCCCGAGAAAUCGGGAAUAAUACACGAUGUACUCUACGGAGUAAAGAUUUAUCGCUUGAGGAGCGGCCUGUGUCCUAUCAGCUUGUUGGUAGUGUAAGAGACUACCAAGGCAAUGACGGGUAGGGGGCGUGAGAGCGUGAUCCCCAACAUUGGAACUGAGACACUGUCCAAACACCUACGGGUGGCUGCAGUCGAGAAUAUUCCACAAUGGGCGAAAGCCUGAUGGAGCGACGCCGCGUGCAGGAAGAAGGCCCUUGGGUUGUAAACUGCUUUUCUACUUGAAAAAUUUUGUGAUGGUAGGGUAGGAAUAAGAGGUUGCUAACUCUGUGCCAGCAGCAGCGGUAAUACAGAGACCUCAAGCGUUAUCCGGAUUUAUUGGGCGUAAAGAGCAUGUAGGCGGUUUUGUUAGUCAGAUGUCAAAUCUUCGAGCUUAACUCGAAAACUGCAUUUGAAACGGCAAAACUUGAGGAAGUGAGGGACCAGUGGAACGUAUGGUGUAGUAGUGAAAUGCGUUGAUAUCAUACGGAACACCAAAGGCGAAGGCAUCUGGUUGGCACUUUUCUGACGCUGAGAUGCGAAAGCGUGGGUAGCGAAUGGGAUUAGAUACCCCAGUAGUCCACGCCGUAAACGAUGCAUACUAGGUAUCGGGAGAAUCGACCCUCUCGGUGUCGUAGCUAACGCGUUAAGUAUGCCGCCUGGAAGUACGAGCGCAAGCUUAAACUCAAAGGAAUAGACGGGGAUCCGCACAAGUGGUGGAGCAUGUGGUUUAAUUCGACAAUAAGCGAGGAACCUCACCAGGGCUUGAAACUUAGCUGCAUUACCUAGAAAUAGGUAAGCCUUCGAGGGUGCUAAGCAGGCGUUGCACGGUCGUCGUCAGCUCGUGCCGUAAGGUGUUCUGUUAAGUCAGGAAACGAGCGCAACCCCUAUCGUAUGUUACAAUGUCAUACGAGACUGCCCAGAACUUUGGUUAUGAAUGUUUAAGUAAAUUUAAAAACUUAUAUUUCGUAGGCAAAGUUCUGGGAGGAAGGCGGGGAUGACGUCAGAUCAGCGUGGCCCUCUGACGCCCUGGGCUACACACGUGCUACAAUAGCCAGUACAAAGGGUUGCCAAACCGUAAGGUGGAGCUAAUCCCAAAAAACUGGUCUCAGUUCGGAUUGAGGUCUGCAACUCGACCUCAUGAAGCCGGAAUCACUAGUAAUCGUGAAUCAGCAAUGUCACGGUGAAUACGUUCCCGGAUCUUGUACUCACCGCCCGUCACACCAAGAGAGUUGGUAUCAUCUGAAGGCUCCGU
rnacentral:rRNA from 1 species